rnacentral:rRNA from 1 species
UUAAGCGACUAAGCGUACACGGUGGAUGCCCUGGCAGUCAGAGGCGAUGAAGGACGUGCUAAUCUGCGAAAAGCGCCGGCGAGGUGAUAUGAACCUUUGACCCGGCGAUGUCCGAAUGGGGAAACCCAGUGUGUUCCGACACACUAUCGUUAACUGAAUACAUAGGUUAACGAGGCGAACCGGGGGAACUGAAACAUCUAAGUACCCCGAGGAAAAGAAAUCAACCGAGAUUCCCCCAGUAGCGGCGAGCGAACGGGGAGCAGCCCAGAGUCUGAAUCAGCUUGUGUGUUAGUGGAAGCGUCUGGAAAGUCGCACGGUACAGGGUGAAAGUCCCGUACACGAAAGCACACAGGUUGUGAACUCGAAGAGUAGGGCGGGACACGUGGUAUCCUGUCUGAAUAUGGGGGGACCAUCCUCCAAGGCUAAAUACUCCUGACUGACCGAUAGUGAACCAGUACCGUGAGGGAAAGGCGAAAAGAACCCCGGCGAGGGGAGUGAAAAAGAACCUGAAACCGUGUACGUACAAGCAGUGGGAGCCUCUUUUAUGGGGUGACUGCGUACCUUUUGUAUAAUGGGUCAGCGACUUAUAUUCUGUAGCAAGGUUAACCGUAUAGGGGAGCCGAAGGGAAACCGAGUCUUAACUGGGCGUUAAGUUGCAGGGUAUAGACCCGAAACCCGGUGAUCUAGCCAUGGGCAGGUUGAAGGUUGGGUAACACUAACUGGAGGACCGAACCGACUAAUGUUGAAAAAUUAGCGGAUGACUUGUGGCUGGGGGUGAAAGGCCAAUCAAACCGGGAGAUAGCUGGUUCUCCCCGAAAGCUAUUUAGGUAGCGCCUCGUGAACUCAUCUUCGGGGGUAGAGCACUGUUUCGGCUAGGGGGCCAUCCCGGCUUACCAACCCGAUGCAAACUACGAAUACCGAAGAAUGUUAUCACGGGAGACACACGGCGGGUGCUAACGUCCGUCGUGAAGAGGGAAACAACCCAGACCGCCAGCUAAGGUCCCAAAGUCAUGGUUAAGUGGGAAACGAUGUGGGAAGGCACAGACAGCCAGGAUGUUGGCUUAGAAGCAGCCAUCAUUUAAAGAAAGCGUAAUAGCUCACUGGUCGAGUCGGCCUGCGCGGAAGAUGUAACGGGGCUAAACCAUGCACCGAAGCUGCGGCAGCGACACUAUGUGUUGUUGGGUAGGGGAGCGUUCUGUAAGCCGUUGAAGGUGUCCUGUGAGGGAUGCUGGAGGUAUCAGAAGUGCGAAUGCUGACAUAAGUAACGAUAAAGCGGGUGAAAAGCCCGCUCGCCGGAAGACCAAGGGUUCCUGUCCAACGUUAAUCGGGGCAGGGUGAGUCGACCCCUAAGGCGAGGCCGAAAGGCGUAGUCGAUGGGAAACAGGUUAAUAUUCCUGUACUUGGUGUUACUGCGAAGGGGGGACGGAGAAGGCUAUGUUAGCCGGGCGACGGUUGUCCCGGUUUAAGCAUGUAGGCGGAAGUUCCAGGUAAAUCCGGUUCCUUGUUAACGCUGAGGUGUGAUGACGAGGCACUACGGUGCUGAAGUAACAAAUGCCCUGCUUCCAGGAAAAGCCUCUAAGCAUCAGGUAACACGAAAUCGUACCCCAAACCGACACAGGUGGUCAGGUAGAGAAUACCAAGGCGCUUGAGAGAACUCGGGUGAAGGAACUAGGCAAAAUGGUGCCGUAACUUCGGGAGAAGGCACGCUGAUAUGUAGGUGAAGUCCCUGCGGAUGGAGCUGAAAUCAGUCGAAGAUACCAGCUGGCUGCAACUGUUUAUUAAAAACACAGCACUGUGCAAACACGAAAGUGGACGUAUACGGUGUGACGCCUGCCCGGUGCCGGAAGGUUAAUUGAUGGGGUUAGCGGUAACGCGAAGCUCUUGAUCGAAGCCCCGGUAAACGGCGGCCGUAACUAUAACGGUCCUAAGGUAGCGAAAUUCCUUGUCGGGUAAGUUCCGACCUGCACGAAUGGCGUAAUGAUGGCCAGGCUGUCUCCACCCGAGACUCAGUGAAAUUGAACUCGCUGUGAAGAUGCAGUGUACCCGCGGCAAGACGGAAAGACCCCGUGAACCUUUACUAUAGCUUGACACUGAACACUGGUCCUUGAUGUGUAGGAUAGGUGGGAGGCUUUGAAGCGUGGACGCCAGUCUGCGUGGAGCCAACCUUGAAAUACCACCCUUUAAUGGCUGGUGUUCUAACGUAGACCCGUGAUCCGGGUUGCGGACAGUGUCUGGUGGGUAGUUUGACUGGGGCGGUCUCCUCCCAAAGAGUAACGGAGGAGCACGAAGGUUAGCUAAUCCUGGUCGGACAUCAGGAGGUUAGUGCAAUGGCAUAAGCUAGCUUGACUGCGAGAGUGACGGCUCGAGCAGGUGCGAAAGCAGGUCAUAGUGAUCCGGUGGUUCUGAAUGGAAGGGCCAUCGCUCAACGGAUAAAAGGUACUCCGGGGAUAACAGGCUGAUACCGCCCAAGAGUUCAUAUCGACGGCGGUGUUUGGCACCUCGAUGUCGGCUCAUCACAUCCUGGGGCUGAAGUAGGUCCCAAGGGUAUGGCUGUUCGCCAUUUAAAGUGGUACGCGAGCUGGGUUUAGAACGUCGUGAGACAGUUCGGUCCCUAUCUGCCGUGGGCGCUGGAGAAUUGAGGGGGGCUGCUCCUAGUACGAGAGGACCGGAGUGGACGCAUCACUGGUGUUCGGGUUGUCAUGCCAAUGGCACUGCCCGGUAGCUAAAUGCGGAAGAGAUAAGUGCUGAAAGCAUCUAAGCACGAAACUUGCCCCGAGAUGAGUUCUCCCUGAGACUUUAAGUCUCCUGAAGGAACGUUGAAGACUACGACGUUGAUAGGUCGGGUGUGUAAGCGCAGCGAUGCGUUGAGCUAACCGAUACUAAUGAACCGUGAGGCUUAACCUU